rnacentral:rRNA from 1 species
UUUAAAGAGAGUUUGAUCCUGGCUCAGGACGAACGCUGGCGGCGUGCCUAAUACAUGCAAGUCGAACGAACGGAGGAAGAGCUUGCUCUUCCAAUGUUAGUGGCGGACGGGUGAGUAACACGUGGGCAACCUGCCUGUAAGUUGGGGAUAACUCCGGGAAACCGGGGCUAAUACCGAAUGAUAAAGUGUGGCGCAUGCCACGCUUUUGAAAGAUGGUUUCGGCUAUCGCUUACAGAUGGGCCCGCGGUGCAUUAGCUAGUUGG